rnacentral:lncRNA from 1 species
CGCAGCCCAGGAUCCCUUGCGCCCUGCGGUAGCCCGGGGCUGCCCAGGGCUGCGGGCUCCAGGCACCCAGAGCGCUGCGACCACAUGAAAGGCCCGGCGCUCAGCACCCGCCAGCCACCUCCAGCUGGUUUCUAACUACACCGCCGGGGCCUCCAUGCUUCUCAGAGACCAGCCUUCGAAGUGCCGCCUUACACCCGGGGCCUGGCCACCGGGCGGGCGCGGAUGGAGCUCUGGUCCACAUUUGGGAGCUCACAGUUGUUCCUGCCAGAUGUGGAAGCUGAGACUUAAAGAAGCUAUGAAACUUGAUCAGGUCAUGCAGCGCCAGAGGACCCAAGGUGGGAUCUCAACCCAGACUGUUUGGCUCCAAAGCUGAACUGCUACAUUACGUUGCUUCAGCAAACAGUCAUUCAGCAAAUACAGGCUCCAGCUGCAGCCACUUUGAAGAUAAAGUUUCCUCCAUAGAAAUUCUGCAAUACAGAUGUCCUUCCGCGGUCCCAGUUCAGUCCUGCACCAGUUCCUUUUCCCACUGGGAAAUUUCUUUCCUCUUCCUACUUCCAUGCAACUGCGAGGCAAGGCUCAAGCCCACUUCCUUCUCCUUUUCCUGUGCCUCCCUGUGGAGGGAGCUCCCUCUUCUUCACAGCUCCAGGCUCUUCCCUACUCUGGCCCAACCUUAUGGGCAUUUUGCUCCAUAACUCUCCUCGAUCUGAACUGCUUCUGAUUUCUCUCAAGUCAUGUCGGGGAAUCUCACAAAUGCAUUCUGAGAAAUACAAGAAUGCCUGAGAUGUUCCCGGCAGAAAAGAUUCCAGGAUCAAAACAUUUGGGAAAAGCUUCACAUCUCUCCUUAGAAAUGAACAAGGCAUAGUCAUCAAGCAUCUGAAAAGUCCUGCAGUCAGGAAACCUACCUUGUUUGUUUUUUAACCCAGUAUUUCUCAAACUAAGAUGGCCAUGAUUUCAUCUCCUCCAUCCCCACUGACUCCUAUAACAACCUGUAGAACCAGUGAUCCACUGUGGAACACACUUUGGGAAACACUGUCCCCAGCCCUCCAAGAAGGCAUAGAGUUGACCUUGCCUUCAUUGAUUUAAACCCUUCCUGUUUCUCUGGGCUAUUUACUUAUUAUCUCACAUACAAAAUAAUCUAAGGUGAUGUCUGCCCAAUUGGGUUUUUAGGAAAGACAUACCCAAUGGGAAUGAAGAUUUUCUUAGCAGGAUUUGAUGAGCCCAUUACUAGAAAAAAAAUCAAGGAUUUCCCAGACUUUCAGGGUGAGGAGAGAAUUUGAUACAAGCAGCAGAGGCUGGGCGUAGUGACCCAUGCCUAGCACUUUGGUAGGCCAAGGAGGGAGGAUUGCUUGAACCCAGGAAUCCAAGACCAGCCUGGGCAACAUAGUAAGAUCCCAUCUCAAUUUUUUAAAGAAGGAUUUAUCAAACUUGUUUCCUAGUCAACGGAUAAAGCCAGAGAGGUAAUGGCCAGAAACCCAAAAUCUAGAGAGUACCAGAUAAAUACUUUUUGGGUGAAUGAAUGAAUGAGCAGGCUAUUGAUCACAAAGUUGGCAGACAUUGUGAAUGAAUGGAUGAAUUAAUAAACAAUCAAAUAACUGGUCUCCAGGCCUCCAGACUUUCUGAACUUCAUUGUAUCUACCUGCUGUGGCCACAUAUAUAUCUCCUCAAAACCCAGAUCUCAUCAGUCCACUCUUCUGUUCCCUGGCUGGCUCCCUGUUGCCUUCAGGAUAAAGUCUACAUGCCUUUGUCCUGGCAUUGAAAACUCUGCAAAACAAAGCUCCAACCUAGCUUUCCAUCCUUCUUUCUCUUCCCCAUUGGGUACCCCUUACUCUAGUCACACCAGUCCCCAAUUCACUUUAUCCGUCUCCUUUUCUUUCUCAAGCUAUUCUCUAUACCUCACCUUUUCUCCCCUGCCUCCAUUGUUGCUUAUUCAACCCUAGCAGUGCUUUCAGGCUCAGCUCAAACCUUAUCACCCAUGUUAAAUGAAAGAAGCCAGACACAAGAAGGGGACAUUCUGAAUGAUUCCAUUUAUAUGAAGGUUAAGAACAGGCAAAACUAUUGUGGGGAAAAAACAGAACUGUGGUUGCCUUUGGGGAGUGAGGAUUGAUUAGAAGGGGUUUUGGGGGUAUGAAAAUGUUCUUGAUCUUCAUUCCAGUGGUAAUUUCAUGGGUGAAUACAUUUGCCAAAAUUCACUGAAUUGUACACUAAAGAUCUGCAUUUCUCUGUAUUGUCAAUUUAAUCUAAAAAUAAAAAUCUUACCACCCAGA